UACGAAGGUCCCAAGCGUUAUCCGGAUUUAUUGGGUUUAAAGGGUGCGUAGGCGGGCUAUUAAGUCAGUGGUGAAAGCCCCAAGCUUAACUUGGGAACUGCCAUUGAUACUGAUGGUCUUGAGUACAUUUGAGGUGGGCGGAAUGUGUCAUGUAGCGGUGAAAUGCUUAGAUAUGACACAGAACACCGAUUGCGAAGGCAGCUCGCUGGGACGGUACUGACGCUGAGGCGCGAAAGCGUGGGGAGCGAACAGG
rnacentral:rRNA from 1 species